rnacentral:rRNA from 1 species
AUACGGGGGGUGCAAACGUUGCUCGGAAUUAUUGGGCGUAAAGCGCAUGUAGGCGGUCCGUUAAGUCGGAUGUGAAAGCCCUCGGCUCAACCGAGGAAGUGCAUUCGAAACUGACAGACUUGAGUAUGGGAGAGGGUGGCGGAAUUCCCGGUGUAGAGGUGAAAUUCGUAGAUAUCGGGAGGAACACCAGUGGCGAAGGCGGCCACCUGGACCAAUACUGACGCUGAGGUGCGAAAGCGUGGGGAGCAAACAGGAUUAGAAACCCCAGUAGUCC